rnacentral:rRNA from 1 species
CAACAGCCACGGGAAUACAGAGGGUGCGAGCGUUAAUCGGAUUUACUGGGCGUAAAGCGUGCGUAGGCGGCUUUUUAAGUCGGAUGUGAAAUCCCUGAGCUUAACUUAGGAAUUGCAUUCGAUACUGGGAAGCUAGAGUAUGGGAGAGGAUGGUAGAAUUCCAGGUGUAGCGGUGAAAUGCGUAGAGAUCUGGAGGAAUACCGAUGGCGAAGGCAGCCAUCUGGCCUAAUACUGACGCUGAGGUACGAAAGCAUGGGGAGCAAACAGGAUUAGAUACCCCCGUAGUCCCUGUCUCUUAUAC